rnacentral:rRNA from 1 species
UGGAUAACAUCCUGAUGGUUUCGGCCAUAAGGAUCAAAGAUAGCCUCUACAUGUAAGCUAUUGUACAGGGAUGAGCCCGCGUACCAUUAGCUAGUUGGUGGGGUAAGAGCCUACCAAGGCAACAAUGGUUAGCUGGUCUGAGAGGAUGAUCAGCCACACUGGAACUGAAACACGGUCCAGACUCCUACGGGAGGCAGCAGUGAGGAAUUUUGCGCAAUGGGGGAAACCCUGACGCAGCAACGCCGCGUGAGUGAAGAAGGCUUUCGGGUCGUAAAGCUCUGUCAAGAGGGAAGAAAGUGGGAGAUGGUAAUACUGUUUUCUAUUGACGGUACCUCUGAAGGAAGCACCGGCUAACUCCGUGCCAGCAGCCGCGGUAAUACGGGGGGUGCAAGCGUUAUUCGGAUUUAUUGGGCGUAAAGAGCGCGUAGGCGGUUUAUCAAGUCAGAUGUGAAAGCCCUGGGCUCAACCUGGGAAGUGCAUUUGAAACUAGUAGACUUGAG